rnacentral:rRNA from 1 species
AGAGUUUGUCAUGGCUCAAAGCGAACGCUGGCGGCACGCCUAACACAUGCAAGUCGAGCGAGAAAGUGACUUCGGUUGCGAGUAAAGCGGCGAACGGGUGAGUACAACGUGGAUAAUCUACCCUAAGGUCCGGGACAACCCCGAGAAAUCGGAGCUAAUACCGGAUAAGACCACAGUAUCCAAGGAUACAGCGGUAAAAGAUUUAUCGCCUUUGGAUGAGUCCACGUCCCAUCAGGUAGUUGGUAAGGUAAAAGCUUACCAAGCCUAAGACGGGUAGCCGGCCUUAGCGGGUGAACGGCCACAUGGGGACUGAGACACGGCCCUGACUCCUACGGGAGGCAGCAGUGGGGAAUAUUGGGCAAUGGGCGAAAGCCUGACCCAGCGAUGCCGCGUGAGGGAUGAAGGCCUUCGGGUUGUAAACCUCUGUCAGGAGGGACGAUGGGACACUUGUGUCUUGACGGUACCUCCAGAGGAAGCCCCGGCUAACUCCGUGCCAGCAGCCGCGGUAAUACGGAGGGGGCAAGCGUUGCUCGGAAUUACUGGGCGUAAAGGGUCCGCAGGCUGUCAGGCAAGUUGGUUGUGAAAGCUCAAGGCUUAACCUUGGAAUUGCAUCCAAAACUGCCUGACUAGAGUCCAAGAGAGGUUGGCGGAAUUCCCCGGUGUAGCGGUGAAAUGCAUAGAUAUCGGGGAGGAACACCAGAGGCGAAGGCGGCCAACUGGCUUGGAACUGACGCUUCAGGGACGAAAGCGUGGGUAGCAAANCNGGAUUA